rnacentral:rRNA from 1 species
AAGCCGAGAGGAGUGCAUGGCCGUCGCCAGCUCGUGCUGUGAAGUGUCCUGUUAAGUCAGGCAACGAGCGAGACCCUCGCCGCCAGUUGCUUCUUUGUGCCGAAAGGUACAAAGAGGAAACUGGCGGGACCGCCGCCGAUAAGGCGGAGGAAGGAGGGGGCUACGGCAGGUCAGUAUGCCCCGAAACCCCUGGGCCACACGCGGGCUUCAAUGGUGGGGACAAUGGGAACCGAUCCCGAAAGGGGGAGGUAAUCCCAAAACCCCACCUCAGUUGGGAUCGAGGGCUGCAAC